UAAAUUCCCAAGUGUGCUACAAGUGGGCAC
rnacentral:piRNA from 1 species